rnacentral:rRNA from 1 species
GUCCACGCCCUAAACGAUGCGAACUGGACGUUGGGAGCAACUAGGCUCUCAGUGUCGAAGCUAACGCGUUAAGUUCGCCGCCUGGGGAGUACGGUCGCAAGACUGAAACUCAAAGGAAUUGACGGGGGCCCGCACAAGCGGUGGAGUAUGUGGUUUAAUUCGAUGCAACGCGAAGAACCUUACCUGGUCUUGACAUCCACGGAAGUCUGCAGAGAUGCGGAUGUGCCUUCGGGAACCGUGAGACAGGUGCUGCAUGGCUGUCGU